UUUUGUCGGGCCACAAUUGAUACAGCAAUCAAGAUCAUUAGUGAAGUCAGCUGUCCAAUGAGUGCUCAUAUAUCUGCGCCUAAAAUCUGUGGGAAGCUGAAGAAGACAGAUAUUGAGAUCUGUGAGAUCAUAUAUGAAUCUGCAGGGUUAUGUCAUUGGAGCCAAAGGGGCUGAAAAUGAUGCUGUCGGCGAAUGGAGGAGGAAGGCUACGUGGAGGGGAGCAGAGUCAUGUACGUGCAAGUGUGCACCUUAAAAGGAACUUUAGAAAAAGAAAACUUGACUUAGCAUCAGUAGACCUGUCUAUGCUGAGAGUGAAGGAAGAUCUUGAAGAGCUGGAGAAAGAUCUCCAGAGCAUGCAUUGAAAAAAUGGACUUUGUGAACCUGAUCAAGAUGCUUGCACCAAAGCAUACAGCUUCAGCUUCCCGAGCAGACCUCUGAUGGACUGUCACUGAAUCUAAGCACAUACCUGCUACCAAAUUUUAGUUACUGUAUUUUUCCAUGUAUAAAAUGACACUUUUCCCUUAA